AUUUUCUUACUAGAACUGUGUGGUACAUCACUGAAAUCUCUGUGGGUAUUGAUCUAUGACUUCACCUGCUGCUCAUUUCCCAACACUAAUUCCACUACGAGGUUGCCAGUUACUUAAAAGAUGUGCGGUGAUCCGAACAUUUUCAUUUUCACAUUUACCAGUCCAUCCAUAAUCCAUCCAUUUAAAUACGUCUGAGAUUAACUAUAGUCAAAAUUAUUUCUGCUUAUUUUUACUCAAAAAUGAAAUAUCAAUUGAUAUAAAUUAGGUCUAUUGACCAUGCAUUCCAAAAUAAGUGUAAAUUUAGUGGUAAUGAGUUGGAGUGAAGUUCAUUAACAUGGUAAAACACAGAAUUUGGGACUACAACCAGUCAAACCAAAAAGUGAACAGUGAACUCAAAAGUAACAAUAGAAAACUAGAAGAACUCCUAUUAAACAGUAAAAGAGUUUUUUUGUAUUAAAAAGUUUUCUUUUUGCAUACAUGUGUCUGUGUAUUUCUGUAUAUGACAACUUUGUAUUAAAAAAGCCUCUAGGCUGUAGUUUUAUACAUAUUUUGAACGUCUUAUUGCUAUGAGGUGUAAGGUAGAAAUAACACUCCCAACACUCAGGCCAGUUGUGAGUGAGUUGCCACCUUUCAGAAAUGAAAAUAAUUGACACCCACCACAGCUUCUUGGGGCCAUGACCACCAUGGGUCAACUUUUGUGAAGUUAAAAUAUAUAAAUAUUUAUAUAUUAGGGCUGUCAAUGUUAAAUUAUAAAUGUAUGUGAAUAAUUUGGAAUCAGAAAUGCAUUUUUUUUUUCUCAAUUUCAACUUCCCCCAUAAUCUGCCCUGUCCCCGCCAAACGGACAGAUUUUUUUCUGGAGCAUUUUGCUUGUGGUGAGAAUAUGAACUGGUCUUAAUGCAACCCAACUACCAAAAACACAACUUUCUAACUGAGCUAUACUGCUGAUAAGGCACAGUUUAAUCUGAUAUAUUAGUCAGAUAAUAUACUGCUAUGAACAAACGCUGUCUCUGCUGCUCCAUGCUGUGUUUGAAACUGGAACACCUGUCAUUUUAGUGGGGGAGGUUUAAUGGCUAAAUUGGAGCAGCCUGGUGGCCAAUCUCCAUUAAUUGCACAUUGCACCAGUAAGAGCAGAGUUUGAAGAUUCAAUUAGCAGGGUAAGAGCACAGUUUUGCUUAAAAUUUUGGGUGACAUACCAGAGUUCAAAAGAGAAAAAAAUGUUGUAGACAAAUUGUUAGUGCACGUCUUGCCGGCGCAUCUGUGACCAAGACAGCAAGUCUUUGUGAUGCAUCAAGAGCCACGGUAUCCAGGGUAAUGUCAGCAUACCACCAAGAAGGACCAACCACAUCCAACAGGAUUAACUGUGGACGCAAGAGGAAGCUGUCUGAAAGGGAUGUUCGGGUGCUAACCCGGUAUGUAUCCAAAUCACGGGAGAAUACAAUGUACACCUCAACUCUCCUGUUUCCACCAGAACUGUCUGUCUGUGAGAAGGUGUGUCCAAACAGUAGGUGUCUCAUAGAAUUAUUAAUACUGGCCUACAGUGAAGUGUUGCCUCAUCAUCAUUAACUCUGCAUGAUCUGAUGAGCUCUUCUGCUCCAGUGUAGCUGUUCAGCUGCUUUGUUUGGGGGGUCAGGCUCCUCACCUGCUGCACCGCUGGGUUCUGUUCUUUGAAGCUCAGCUGUGUUCUUUCUCGUCUCUCUCUCCCGUCCCGUGUUCCUCCCCGCAGGCAUGGCCGCGGCCAGCGCCCUUAUUGAUACCUCACAGCUGAAGCCGGGCCACUUCAAAGAUAAGAGUCUCAGACAGCCCCUCGUACAGAACCGCAGCUCUCCUGUUUGAACCGCCCGACUGACCUGGACGCACCGCACCGACCUCGGAUCCUGCCCUGUUUGUUUACCCUGCUCCUCCACCUGCCUCUCAAUUUCCUCCUUCUUCACCACUUUAAGGAAGACCUUGAAGUGUAAAUGACGGGGGGCAGUCUGUCAUUAGUAGUCUGUGUUGUACUUCUUUUAAAUCCCGAGCUCCACAGUGCAUCACAUGCACGCCCUCCUCAAAGCCUCUACAGACCAUAGCUGUGCUUCUCUUUCUUCCUUUCUUUCUUUCCUUAUACUCUUAACUACUCUUAACAAAAGUUAUUGAACACUUGUUGAUUGGGCAUCUAAUUAUUGUGUUAUUAUUAUAAAAAAGAUUUGUUUAGAAACUUUAAAGUUUAUUAAACUUCAGUUUUGCCUCUUGUAAUUCAUUUUUUUUUUACAGAGCUUGAUAACAUUAAUUUACAGUCCCCUCCAAAAGUAUUGGAACAGUGAGGCCAAACCCUUUUUAUUUAUGCUGUAGACUAAACACAUUUCAGCUUUUAUUUCCUGAAAUUUACAUCUGAACCCACAAACUUUUCUUGUGAGCAAAAUAUUAGAACAUGUGACCUUCAGGUGUGUGUGUUUUUUUUUUGUUACAGUCCAGGUGUCUCCUGUUACAUGAAUUAUUCAAGCAACAAAAAGCACUGAUUGUCUACUCUCAGUUUCAGAUUUGUGUUUUACCUGUGCAGAUUGUGCAUUAACUGUAUGGUUAAAGGAGUAAACAACAUGAAAACCAGAGAGCUCUGGGAGUCUAUGAAUGAAAAACAAGCAACUGUGAAGCUGAAAGUAGAUGGAAAAUCAAUCGACUGACAAAGAGCCAUUGCACAAAUAUUGGCCAUAGCCAGAACAAGCUGUGGAAUGAGCUGAAGAAGAAAGUCGUCACUGGUGUACUAAGUAAUAGAUGUCGAACAGGUAGACCAAGGAAAACAGCAGUGGAAGAAGAAUGAAGAGUAAAACAUAUGUUGGACUGUUAAAAGCUGUCAGACACAAGCCUCGUGAAAAAUACAUCUCUGGCCAAAUUGUGACCAACAACAUCCUGUUUGUGUAGUCUCCAGCUGCAUCCAGAGUUGCUCAACAGUGGGUGAACUCAUGCCUCACCCCUAAAUAAAGUCCAGAAAUACUUCAGUCACAGUUACAUCAUGACAGAUGGAAUGGAUGUGCUGGGUUGGAGGAGUUGUGUCUCAAGGCUGGUCCACAGGUAUCCAGACAUUUUUGAAAACUUUUCUCUUUUUUUCUCUCUCUGUCUCUAGUAGUGUUUCUAAAGGUCUCACUCACUAAACUCCACAUGAAAAUGCAAAACAGCUCUAGCCUGAUAACCUCAGCAGGUCACGGAAACUGAUCUCUAAUUCAUCAAGAAGCAAGAGUAAUGGCCAAACCAGACCUAAACAAAAUGCAAACCGGAAACAUGUUUUCUAAUAGCAACAACAGCAGGUCUUCAUAGACUCAAAACUUAGAAUUUGUACAGUACAGACAAUUUGCUAAAAAAAUGUAAAAUAGUUUUUUUUUUCCUCCCAUUGGUGAUUCUGCUUCUGUAGUUUUUUUCACAAAAUAUAGACAGAGCCAGAGUUGCCAGGUUUGUGUUUUUUUUUUUUUUUUUUUUGCCAAAUUGAGCUUGUUUGGAAAUUUGGUAAAAUUAAAUAUGUUGCAGAAUGCAUCGUUUUUGGGCUACUUUUAAAAUUUAACACGGCCGCCACUAAGCCUUCGUUGCUAACCGUUCAAAAUGAAAAUGUACUGUCUUGUUAAAUAGCUGAUAAAGGAAGAAGAGGCAGGAUAUAUUUAGUAAGGCACAGGAGGCAAACUAUUAAGAAAUGAAAAAUAUAAUGCUUAUAAAACAAAAAAAAGUUUAAAGUAAGUUUUUUAAAAAAAAAAUGAAAAACAAAGUAAGAUACAAGAUUUAAGUACAUUUUAGGCUAAUUUAAACAAAAAAAAACAGGUUUUAAACAGACUUUAAAACAUGGCUGGACUUUUUGCUGGACCUUGCAAUUCUGUGCAGGGCUGAGUAGCUUGUGGACAUCAGUGUGCAUCAGAAUGGCUCAUAAUGUUUUAUUGACCUUUUUGCACUUUUUUUCAUAUUCCACUGCUGUAGAUAACAUGUACUUACUUGUAAAUAAUAUCCAUAACACAUUACUGUUUUCAUGUAUAUAUAUCCAUCCUGGAUGUAAAUUUAACACCAAUUUAAUAUUUAUAUUUAGUUAGUUUAUUUCUUUCUUUAUUGUAUAUUUUCUACUGUUAUCUUUAUGCGGUAUACUUGGCAGGGAGCAAAGACAGAAUUUCAUUCAGGAAACUUGUUUCUUACUUUGCACAUGGCAAUAAACUCUUUGAAUUUUGAA